rnacentral:rRNA from 1 species
GACGAACGCUGGCGGCGUGCUUAACACAUGCAAGUCGAGCGGAAAGGCCACUUCGGUGGUACUCGAGCGGCGAACGGGUGAGUAACACGUGAGUAAUCUGCCCUUGGCUUUGGGAUAGCCACCGGAAACGGUGAUUAAUACCGGAUACGACCACUCCAGGCAUCUGGUGGUGGUGGAAAGUUUUUCGGCCAGGGAUGUGCUCGCGGCCUAUCAGCUUGUUGGUGAGGUAAUGGCUCACCAUGGCUUCGACGGGUAGCCGGCCUGAGAGGGUGACCGGUCACAUUGGGACUGAGACACGGCCCAGACUCCUACGGGAGGCAGCAGUGGGGAAUAUUGGACAAUGGGCGGAAGCCUGAGCAAGAAACGCCGGGUGAGGAAUGACGGCCUUCGGGUUGUAAACCUCUUUCGGUAGGGACGAAGCGGAAGUGACGGUACCUACUAAAGAAGCACCGGCCAACUACGUG